UACGUAGGGGGCUAGCGUUGUCCGGAAUCAUUGGGCGUAAAGAGCGCGUAGGCGGCCAGAUAAGUCCGGUGUGAAAGUCACAGGCUCAACCUGUGAAUGCCGCUGGAAACUGUCUGGCUAGAGUCCGGAAGGGGCGAGUGGAAUUCCCGGUGUAGCGGUGAAAUGCGCAGAUAUCGGGAGGAACACCAAUGGCGAAGGCAGCUCGCUGGGACGGUACUGACGCUGAGACGCGAAAGCGUGGGGAGCAAACAGG
rnacentral:rRNA from 1 species